CUCCCAAAGUGCUGGGAUUACAGGCAUGAGCCACCGCGCCUGGCCUACAACUUUUUUCCAUAGUGUAUAUCCUAAUUUAACUUUACACCAACAAUGCAUAAGAUUUUCCCUUUAUCCAAAUCCACAUCAGCAUUCUUUUUAAUUUUUAAGAUAUUUUCAGUAACAUGUAUUCCAGUAGGUGUGGGAUGGUAUCUGAAUGUGGUUUUGGAGUACAUUCUUUUCUGAUGAAUAGUAAUGUUGAGGACCUUUUCUCUUACAUGUUUGUGCAUUUUAUGUCAUUUUUGCAGCGAUGUCUAUUCAGGUUUUCUGCCCGAUUUUAGUUUGGAUAUGUAUUUUUUAUGCUAUUUGGAAUUUUUUUUUCUGUGUAUAUGUUUGAUAACAACCAGUUAUCACUUCUAUGAUUCCCUCCUAUUUUCUCACAAUCUUUUUCUUUUUUGAGACAGCUCACUCUCACAGACCAUGCUGGAGCACAGUGGCACAUCACAGGACCAUGUGUAUUGGGAUAUUGGCUACCUACAGCUUUGCAACGCAAUUUGGUAUCAGGAAUUCUGGGUGGGCUAUGAACAGGCCAACUGCAAGGGCGAGCAGUUUGUGUUUGAGAAGGCGAGUACGCCCACUGGGACUGGUGGACCAGCAGCCAGAGGACAGACUCAGCAGCCUGAGGCCCAUCAAAGUGGACAGCCAAGAGCACAAGAUCAUCCUCUAUGAAAAUCCCAACUUCACCGGGAAGAAGAUGGGAAUCAUAGAUGACGAUGUACCCAGCUUCCACGCCCAUGGCUACCAGGAGAAGGUGUCAUCUGUGCAGGUGCAGAGUGGCACAGCUGCCUUUGGGGAAAUGGUAUGCUUUUGGAGUGGAGAAACCUUGGCCUUAACCUCAGCGCCAGUGAGCAAGACAUGUAUGUCAGAGGGGCAAGUUGAGGCAGAGGGAGGAUUAGGUUGAGGCAGGAGGGAAGGAAUGAGUUGAGUAGUCUGAAAGCUAUGAGAAGCAGGAGGACCAGCCCAUGCUGCCUUUGACUGCGUGUGUCCCUAAGUUUGGGAACAGGAGGUGUCAUUUUCCACUGAAUUGAAGUUCCUGGGCACAUCGACCCUGGCCAUCAGCAAUGAGGGAUUUCUCAUGGUAAAAAAUUUGGAUUCCAUGGGGGUCCACAGAUGAGCUUUGGGCAGUGGUGUGCUGGAAACAGCUUAUACCAGCUUGUAAGAACUGACUUUUUUUUUUUUUUUUUUUUUUUUUUGAGACGGAGGCUGGCACUGUUGCCCUGGCUGGAGUGCAAUGGAAUGAUCUCGGCUCACUGCAACCUCCGCGCCUCCCAGGUGGGUUGGCUACUAGUACCCCGGCUACCGCAGGCUGCAGUACCUGCUGGAGAAGGGAGACUACAAGGACAGCAGCGACUUUGGGGCCCGUCACCCCCAGGUACAGUCUGUGCGCCGCAUCCACGACAUGCAGUGGCACUAAUGUGGUUCCUUACACCCCUCCAACUAGUGCCCUCCCCACCAUGCCUCCUUCCCAGGACCCAGGUCUGCUGCCCAGGAACCCUCCAGACCUCCCAGAGAGUGAAUAAAGUGUGACUUGCAACUUG